GCGCCCUUUUAAGGUUGACGCGGUGCUUUAAGGGGCUAACACAGAACGGUAAAGGAAGUCUCCAUAAACCCCAGAGAGAAGAGAUUGUAAAGCUCCUCUUUAGAUCCUUUCUGGAGUCACACCU